rnacentral:lncRNA from 1 species
GAUUUUCAUUACUGACUCCCAGUUCAAUCUGGGACCCGUAGCGCUACCGGGCCACACCUGAGUCACCUGCACCCUGGCUAGGAAGGAGGUAGAGAAAUGGAUCACUGGAAUCAAGAGUCAGAGCUGCAAUUCAUAAGGUGCAGGAACUGGGGUAGCUAAGCACAGCAAUGUGGUCUCCUAUCCUCUCAGUGUCAAUGACAAAAGUCGGUGCCCAACAGUGCCCUGCCAUGACUGCCACUGCCACCACUUGGACCCCAGAGAACAGAGAUGGUGUUAGAUGCUCGCAGCUGGGGAAGAGGCAUGAAAUAUCUGUGAUAAUCUCCACGUAACUUUCCUGAGGAAAACACCAGACAGAACCAGCUUGCCAGAGCCGGCCAAACCCUUGCGGGACAGCAGCACCCUGAAGACAUGGGGUCUCAGGAGGGGGUGUGAAGUCUCCCAGGCCAGACAGAACCUUGAGGCAACUGCACACACCAGCUAUGCUUAACACCUGGGACCAAGAGCGAGCAGAGGAGAUUUCCCAGGUAACAACUGUUAUAAAUUGCAGGUCGGCUAGAGCAGAGAGUGAGCAGGCUGAGAAAAUCACAGCACACCAUGCCUUGGGGGAAACAAGCAACUGCAGGAAGAAGACAAAGCAGAACACUCAGUGAGGGUUCCUGGAAAACAGAAUGGUCAGAGGAGACAACAGCUUUAAUGAAAAGUAAGAACACUUAAAGAGACUCCUUUCAAACAUAAAACGUCAGGCAACUAAAAAGCAUGGUUUUCAAACAACUGCCUACAUUCAUACAAAAGAGGAUGGUCACUUUUGGGAGCUAAUCUGCAGUCUAGAAAACAUAAAUGGAAGAAAUCAAUUCAAAAACAAAAAGAAUAUCUUUUACAAUCCAGUUGCAAAAUAGGAACUACUACAAUUGGUCUAAGCAAAAAGAAAUGUGAUCCAGCAAAAGGAUGCUUACAAGCUUGUCAGCACUGGGGAAGCAGCUGUCGCACUGUCUCCUUAGAACUCAUUACCAAGUAACUGUCGCCCAAAAACCUACCCCUGUAGCGGAUGCGACGUCCCCCCGCCGCUGUGCUGCGCAUGUGUGGACACCGCCCCGCACUACCCACCCACCCCCACCCCCCCGCCCGCUCGUGCCUAUGCUUACUGAUGUCUGGUUGAUAGGAGGCAGGCUGAAAAAAAGUCUGAGACAUGUGACGUCUGGUUGAUAGGAGGCAGGCUGAAAAAAAGUCUGAGACAUGUGGGCUUGCUUUUUCUAAACCUAACGUACACAGGAGGCAUGCUAGAUGGGGUGUGGAGUUAUUAUCUAUUAUCUUGUAGCUAAUGUAAUAUGGAAAACUGCCAUUAUGUCGCAAGAUUUGGAAGUGAAAAAACAUACUCCCUCCCCGCAAAAAAGAGGCGAUCUCUGUGUGCAUAGGCAGACCAGGCAUAUGUUUAAUACAUAGUGAGGAAUAAUUUAAAUUUUAGAAGUACUGUUUUAACUGCUAUAAAGACUUGUGUGAGCCUUUCUGGAUGGGUUUCUUAUGGGUUCACAUUGCUCGCAAAUGUAAAUUCUUACAGCAGACUGCCUUUUUAACACGUUCACUUGAAUUAGUUAAAUUAGGCUCACAUUAGAUAGCCUCCAGCACUGCAAAGGUAAACCGGAUGCUGGUUUGCACACAGACAGAGCAGUGGGGCCUCUAGCUGCCCUUAUCAGGACUGAUGCAUCUACUGCUGCCAAGAUGCCCAGCCGCCCCCCCCCCGGCACUUACCAAGCUGUCUGUAAGUGCUAUGCUUUUGAUCUUUCUUCACUCAAAG